rnacentral:rRNA from 1 species
AAGCGCCGGCUAACUACGUGCCAGCAGCCGCGGUAAUACGUAGGGCGCGAGCGUUGUCCGGAAUUAUUGGGCGUAAAGGGCUUGUAGGCGGUUGGUCGCGUCUGCCGUGAAAUCCUCUGGCUUAACUGGGGGCGUGCGGUGGGUACGGGCUGACUUGAGUGCGGUAGGGGAGACUGGAACUCCUGGUGUAGCGGUGGAAUGCGCAGAUAUCAGGAAGAACACCGAUGGCGAAGGCAGGUCUCUGGGCUGUAACUGACGCUGAGAAGCGAAAGCAUGGGGAGCGAACAGGAUUAGAUACCCUGGUAGUCCACGCCGUAAACGUUGGGCACUAGGUGUGGGGGACAUUCCACGUUUUCCGCGCCGUAGCUAACGCAUUAAGUGCCCCGCCUGGGGAGUACGGCCGCAAGGCUAAAACUCAAAGGAAUUGACGGGGGCCCGCACAAGCGGCGGAGCAUGCGGAUUAAUUCGAUGCAACGCGAAGAACCUUACCAAGGCUUGACAUGUACUGGACCGCAUCAGAGAUGGUGUUUCCCUUCGGGGCUGGUAUACAGGUGGUGCAUGGUUGUCGUCAGCUCGUGUCGUGAGAUGUUGGGUUAAGUCCCGCAACGAGCGCAACCCUUGUCCCGUGUUGCCAGCACGUUGUGGUGGGGACUCGCGGGAGACUGCCGGGGUCAACUCGGAGGAAGGUGGGGAUGACGUCAAAUCAUCAUGCCCCUUAUGUCUUGGGCUUCACGCAUGCUACAAUGG